GGUCAUUUCAAGGUCAUUCAUUUGAAGGUCAAGGUCACUGUGACCUUGAAUGUAAAAAUGUUAAAGUUCUUAUUUCAUGGUAUAACUUUGGUAUGCUUGGACCUAGAGUCUUCAAACUUGACAUGAAGGUUGGCCAGGAUUAACAGAUGACCACUGGUCAUUUCAAGGUCAUUCAUUUGAAGGUGAAGGUCACUGUGACCUUCAAUAUAAAAAUGUUAAAGUUGUUAUAACUUUGGUAUGCUUGGACCUAGAGUCUUGAAACUUGACAUGAAGGUUGGCCAGAACUAGUAAGUAACCACUGGACAUUUCAAGGUCAUUCAUUUGAAGGUCAAGGUCACUGUGACCUUGAAUGUAAAAAUGUUAAAGUUGUUAUAACUUUGGUAUGCUUGGACCUAGAGUCUUGAAACUUGACAUGAAGGUUGGCCAGAACUAGUAAAUGACCCCUGGUCAUUUCAAGGUCAUUCAUUUGAAGGUGAAGGUCACUGUGACCUUCAAUAUAAAAAUGUUAAAGUUGUUAUAACUUUGGUAUGCUUGGACCUAGAGUCUUGAAACUUGACAUGAAGGUUGGCCAGAACUAGUAAGUAACCAC